UACGUAGGGGGCUAGCGUUGUCCGGAAUCAUUGGGCGUAAAGAGCGUGUAGGCGGCCCGGUAAGUCCGCUGUAAAAGUCAAAGGCUCAACCUUUGAAUGUCAGUGGAUACUGCCGGGCUAGAGUCCGGAAGAGGCGAGUGGAACUCCUGGUGUAGCGGUGGAAUGCGCAGAUAUCAGGAAGAACACCAACGGCGAAGGCAGCUCGCUGGGCCAUUACUGACGCUGAGGAGCGAAAGCGUGGGGAGCGAACAGG
rnacentral:rRNA from 1 species